rnacentral:rRNA from 1 species
GUGGGGAAUAUUGGACAAUGGGCGCAAGCCUGAUCCAGCAAUGCCGCGUGGGUGAAGAAGGUCUUCGGAUCGUAAAGCCCUUUCGACAGGGACGAUGAUGACGGUACCUGUAGAAGAAGCCCCGGCUAACUUCGUGCCAGCAGCCGCGGUAAUACGAAGGGGGCUAGCGUUACUCGGAAUUACUGGGCGUAAAGGGCGCGUAGGCGGCUCUGUUAGUCAGGCGUGAAAUUCCUGGGCUUAACCUGGGGACUGCGCUUGAUACUGUAGGGCUUGAGGCCGAGAGAGGGUGGUGGAAUUCCCAGUGUAGAGGUGAAAUUCGUAGAUAUUGGGAAGAACACCGGUGGCGAAGGCGACCACCUGGCUCGGUUCUGACGCUGAGGCGCGACAGCGUGGGGAGCAAACAGGAUUAGAAACCCCAGUAGUCC